UCUCCGUUGGUGAACCAGCGGAGGGAUCAUUAUCGAGUUUAUAACUCCCAAACCCUAUGUGAACUUACCACUUGUUGCUUCGGCGCGCGCUUCGGUGCCGCCGAGGACACUUAAACUCUUUGUUUUUAUAAGCAUUUCUGAGUGGCCGAAAGGCAAAAUACAAAUGAAUCAAAGCUUUCAACAACGGAUCUCUUGGUUCUG
rnacentral:misc_RNA from 1 species